rnacentral:lncRNA from 1 species
ACUAUUUCAUUGAUCGAGCCGUUGAGAUAGAUCAUUGUCUGGGAAGACAGUCGAAAGUUGCCGACAAUCAGCCAGUUUGCUGAUUGACAGUCAGCUUCCAUGAUGCCGAUGAUAUGUCGGGGUAAUAAACUCAAUAUAGUGUAGACGUUGUAGUCAAACCAAUAACUCUUUUAGCGGUCCAUCAUCUAUUGCCGACACAUAGUCGGGAUUCGAUCGUGAAUUGGGGGAG